rnacentral:lncRNA from 1 species
GGGAGGCAGGGGAGAUGGACUAGCACUACUCCUCCUGCCACAGGGCAGCAGAUGCUCGAUUCCCUCAGAAGGAUGUCCUUCAUCUUUUCCAUGCCGUGUGUGUUCACCCUGGCCCUCCCAGCAGCCUGGGAAGGGCAGAACACUGCACACACAGAGGCCGUUCCCAGUCCCCACAUUCCAGAUUCAUGUGUCACCAGACCAUGGAGGAGGCAGACUGGUUCCAGGAGGAUGAGAGCCCUUGUUCUGACACCGUGUCUGAUUCCAGGGCCUACAAAUCCGCUCUGGACUACACCAAACGAAGUCUGGAGAUUUUCAUUGACCUCCAGAGGAAAGAGGAGGAGGCGCAUGCCUGGCUGCAAGCAGGGAAGAUCUAUUACAUCCUGCGGCAGAGCGAGCUGGUGGACCUGUACAUCCAGGUGAGUGACAAGGGAUGCAGGAGGACCCCUGUGCUGUUCACUCUCUGUCCAUCCACCCAUCCAUUCAUCCUUCCAUCAUCUAUCUGUUUACCUGCUCAUCCUUCUAUCCAUCAUCUAUCCAUCAUCUUCCCAUACACCUGUGGGUCCUUCCAUCCAUCCAUCCAUCCUUCCAUCAUCCAUCCAUUCACCUGUUCGUCUUUCCAUGCAACCAUCCAUCCAUCCAUCCUUUUAUCAUCCAUUCAUUCACCUCUCCAUCCAUCUAUUCACCUGUUCGUCCAUCCAUCCAUCCAUCCAUCCUUCCAUCUUUCCAUCAUCCAUCCAACUGUUCAUCCUUCUAUCCAUCCAUCAUUCUUCUGUUCACCUCUUGGUCCGUCCAUCCGUCCAUCCUUCCAUCUUUCCGUUAUCCAUCCAACCAUCUUCCAUCCAUCCAUGAUCCAUCCAUUCAUUCAUCAUCCAUCCUUUUAUCCUCCAUCCAUCCAUUCACCUGUUCAUCCAUCCCUCCAUCCAUUCUUCCAUCCUUCCAUCAUCCAUUCACCUGUUCAUUCUUCCAUCCAUCCAUCCUUCAUCCAUCCAUUCAACCAUAUAUCCAUCCAUCCAUCCACUCAUCUCCUGUUCAUCCUUCCAUCCAUCCAUUCAUCCAUCCUUCCAUCCAUCCAUCUUUCCAUCAUCCAUCCAUUCAUCUGUUCAUCCUUCCAUCCAUCAUCCAUCCAUCCAUCCUUUUAUCAUCCAUCCAUUCACCUGUUCAUCCAUCCAUCCGUCCAUUCAUCCUUCCAUCAACUAUCCAUUCACCU